UACGUAGGGUCCGAGCGUUGUCCGGAAUUACUGGGCGUAAAGAGCUCGUAGGUGGUUUGUCGCGUUGUUCGUGAAAACUCACAGCUCAACUGUGGGCGUGCGGGCGAUACGGGCAGACUAGAGUACUGCAGGGGAGACUGGAAUUCCUGGUGUAGCGGUGGAAUGCGCAGAUAUCAGGAGGAACACCGGUGGCGAAGGCGGGUCUCUGGGCAGUAACUGACACUGAGGAACGAAAGCCAGGGGAGCAAACGGG
rnacentral:rRNA from 1 species